rnacentral:tRNA from 1 species
GCCUGGGUGGCUCAGUUGGUUGAGUGUCCGACUUCUGCUCAGGUCAUGAUCUCACAGUUUGUGGGUUCGAGCCCCACGUUGGGCU